rnacentral:rRNA from 1 species
AAGGAUCAUUAAUGAAUGAAGUAUUGAGGAUGUUGCUGGCCUUGUUUCCUUUGAGAUGGGGCAGGUGCACUCCUCAGAUACCCCCAUUUACGAAACCUGUGUGCACUCUGUGUAGGUUUGCCUUUGUGUUCAAACCUAUGUUUUUUUCAUUCAUUUGGCUCUAUUUGGAUGUUGAAUGUUUUCUUUGAUAAAUAAAUCACAACUUUCAACAAUGGAUCUCUUGGCUCUCGCAUCGAUGAAGAACGCAGCGAAAUGCGAUAUGUAAUGUGAAUUGCAGAAUUCCGUGAAUCAUCGAAUCUUUGAACGCACCUUGCGCCCCUUGGUAUUCUGAGGGGCAUGCCUGUUUGAGUGUCAUUGUAAUCUCUCAACUUUUGACCUUGGCAUUCUUUUGGAGGUCAGAAAGCUUGGAAUGGUUGGAGGGGUGUGCUGGCUAGCUUGUUGAGUUUGUCAGCUCCUCUGAAAAGCAUUAGCGAAGGCAUUAUAAAUGCCCUUGUCCCUGCAUCUCGUGCUUCUUGGCAUUGAUAGUUGUCUAUGCCUCUUGUUUUUGGCUUGGAUGCAAGUAAUAAGGGAUUGGGGAAAAAAUGGUCUUUUGCUUACAGUCGGGUCUCACCAUGGGCCAUUUCGACAAAAUCACCUCAAAUCAGGCAGGACUACCCGCUGAACUUAA